rnacentral:rRNA from 1 species
AUGAUAAGGAGCUACUGGUGGGGUUCAGAGAAUGGGAAACGAAGGACGCACUGGAUUGCAUGGGAGAAAUUACUACGCCCAAAGAAUCAAGGUGGCCCGGGUUUCCGAGAUAUGAGGCUUUUUAACCAAGCUCUAUUAGCUCGUCAAGCAUGGCGUUUAAUUGAUAGACCUGAGAGUCUAUGCACGAGGCUACUUAAAGCGAGAUACUAUAGACACGGCAAUCUAAUUGACACUGUCUUCACGGGCAAUGCGUCUCCUGUAUGGCGAGGAAUUGAGCAUGGGCUGGAAUUGUUGAAGCAAGGCAUUAUAUGGAGAAUUGGUAAUGGUAAAAAAGUCAGGGUUUGGAGGGACCCGUGGAUACCACGUGCGGGCUCUUGUAAGCCACUUGGAGAGCGAGGAAGCUGCAGGUACAGCCGGGUGGCUGAUUUUAUAUCACUAGAGGGUUCUUGGAAUGAAGAACGCCUAAGACAGUACAUGGUAGGUGCGGAUGUACAAGAGAUUCUGAAGAUUAAAGUGUCUCGCAGAGCAAGAGAGGAUUUUUUGGCUUGGAAUCUGGAGAAAGAUGGGAGAUUUUCAGUCAGGAGUGCCUACCACAUUGCAGUUAAUCAGAUUCAGAACCAUGGUGGGGUUUCGACAAGUUCGAGACCAGAUGGGGACCGACCCGUGUGGAGAAUGUUCUGGAAAAUCCAAGUUCCCCAAAAAGUGAAGAUAUGUGCGUGGAAGAUGCUAAAGAAAGGGCUCCCCACACGCCAGGUUAAGAAAUCUAAACACUUGGACGUGGUUGAUGAGUGUCCGAGAUGUGGCCGGGGGACCGAGGAUAGCUUUCAUGCUGUUGUUGCAUGCCCUACCUCCAGUGCUGUAUGGGAUGCUAUGGGUGAAGUGUGGACUGUUCCAGCGAAGGAGACGAUUAGGAACACUGGUGAUGAGUGGUUGUUCGAUCUGUUGGUAACCAUCCAGGAAGAAGAACGUGCUAAAGUUCUGAUGAUAGUUUGGAGAAACUGGCAGCUUCGUAAUGAUUCCAUGCAUGACAAGACGGUGCCUCCGGUCAAGGUGUCCAGGGAUUUUUUCAAAGCUAUAUGGUCUCACUAA